GCGGGAUUGGCACAUUGGUUGUGCUCUAGCCUUCCAAGCUAGCUAAAAGAGUUCGAUUCUCUUAUUCCGCUCCA
rnacentral:tRNA from 2 species